rnacentral:rRNA from 1 species
AUGAAGAAGAAGAAGAAGAACACACCAAGGAUAUUAACGGCAUUGUUUCACCACAGCAAACUCGUAUAUGAUCAGAAUGUAUGGAAAAAAAUCCCGAAAAGAAUCAACUUCAUGGCUGCCCGGCAGCCGGUGGAGGCGGCGACGAGUAGUCGUACGCCGGCAUCUUCCACGUCGCCGGUGGUGGAGGCGAGAGGUGCCGGUCCUCCGGUGACACCUCGUAGUUGGGCGGCGCUGGUAGGUCGUAGUGGGGCGGUGUUGUCGGCUCUUCGUACUCUGGCGGUGGCGGUGAUAGGUACCGGUCCUCUGGUGACACCUCGUAGUAGGGCGGAGGUGGAGACUCUUGGUAAGCUGCGGGUGGCGGUGAGUGGUACCGGUCCUCCGGUGACACCUCGUAGUAGGGAGCUGGCACCUCGUAGUGGGGAGGCGUUGUCGGCUCUUGGUACGCUGGAGGUGGCGGCGAAAGGUACCGUUCCUCAGGUGAGACCUCGUAGUACGGAGGUGGGGGUGAUGGAGACGGGGGUGGAGGAGACGGGGUUGGUGGAGGAGGCGACGGCGGCGGUGGUGAAGUUCUGGAGAUGCGGCAGGUGGCAGAUCCCCUCCGGCACGUCGCCGGUGAGGCGGUUGUGA